UAAUCCUGGAAGCUCCUCUAGAAAAACAUCUUGAAACUCCUUUAUGGUCCUUACCUUAUCCACUGUCAAUCCCUUCUCUUCCGACUGGCUUACAAAUGCCAAAUAGGCCUCACAACCUUUUCGAAUCCACUUUUCGGCCCUCAAUGUUGACACCACAUUAGACAAAUAAUCCCUUCGCUCAGCUAUCAUCAUAACCUCCUCACCCUCCGUGGUCCUUAACACCAUUCGUUUUGCAGCACAAUCCAAAGUUGCCCUAUGCUUAACAAGCCAAUUCAUUCCCAGAAUGAGGUCAAACUCUCC
rnacentral:lncRNA from 1 species